rnacentral:lncRNA from 1 species
AGUUUUUGAGAAGCCAUGUGCCAUGUGUAUACUUUUUUUAGGUGAUUGUUUGUUCCACCUGAAGGCAUUUAGUAUCUGCUUUUUUAUACUUGUCUUUGUUCUGAAUGAUGAUAGACGCCAUACUACAAAUUCCUCAUUCUUUGGGAUAUAUAUUCAGAAAGAAAUUCAUAAUUCUUUGGGAUAGUCUUUUUUGUUUUUCGUUUGUGUGGCUUUGUUCUAUUUGUUUGGUAUCUCUUCAAACUCAAUGAAAGACCCCACUUUUUCCUUAUAAUCUGUUCUACAUCAAAGCAAGCUUCCUGGACCUUACCUUCCCUGGAACAUCUGUCAAUAAGCUGUGGUGUUUUUGGAUAACUCGUUCAGCUUAGGGUAGGUGUGACUAUGUGAUGUGUAUAUUUCUGAAGAGUGCAGCCCCUCUAAAACUAUACUUACAAAAUGAAGUGAUAUUAACAACUUUUUUGAGAUGAUUUCACUAAACAAACAUACAUUCCAAAGAAAGCUGAGUUGUAUCCAACAUUGCCAUUCACUUUACUUAACUCACUAAUUAUGUAGUCAACUCUCUCUCUUUUUUUUUCCUUAGGAGCAGCACUGCUUGAGAUGUGGUAAUGUCUCAUAUUCAACAAAGGAAGGUAGAAAUGAAAGUAUUUAAAUUUUGGAUACUGGAAUAAUGAAAUUUAGGAUUUGAAGGCCAACCAAGCUCAAGCCCAAGCAAUAUUUCUCUCACAUAUUAAGUUGAAAUUCCCAUCAGUUUACUGAAAAUAUUUGAUGGCAAUCCCCAGGAGGAUAUUCAGAUUAAUUAUCUUUGCUACUUAAUGGCUCCAAAUAAUUUCUUUCUCUCAUCCUUCCGUUCGGUGCAGGUCUAUCUCCUGCUCAUUGCCAGCUCCCAAAUUCGCAACCCACUGCAGAUACUCAUCAGUGAUUACACAAAGGGGGAAGCUCUAGGAGCUAAGCUCUGUGAUAUACUCCAGGCCCUAAUCAAUUUGGUCUUUCAACUGUGAACAACCCCCAAAAUACGCCUCCUCAGUAUCUUUGGUGUUUUUUUUUUCUGGAACCACCAAUAUAAAAUAUUCCUGGGCCCAACUACAUGACUGUUUUAUAAAAUAUAUUUUCUUUUCAUUAGACAAUUCAACUCAAAGCUGUGUAUACCUCAAACAAACAAAAACAAACACAAAUGUACGUACACAAUAAAAUAAAGACCAACUGAAAAAUUCUACCUGAU